UAGAAGUUACUGUAAAGCGUGGGACUUCAAAUUUGUGUCGGAAAUAACUGGUUUUUAUUUAGCGUUUGUGACUAGUAACAGUAACGUUCUUCAUCAGUCAGUGAAUUACCAUAGUUUGCACUUGACUGCAUGUAUUAAAUGCGGAAAAUCCGUACUGGAAAGAGACAACACUGACUAUUGACAUACCAACCAUCACAGCAGCACUUGUUCUGCUAAGCACAGUCCUUGUUUUGUAUGAAGAAGACAAACCACAAGACUGAGUAUGUACCCAGCCAUGGUUCAGAUUCCAAUCUACUGGAUACUCUAAGCAUAAAAACAGCAGAAGGAAGAUGAACCCACAGGUGAGUGGUAUUAAGGACAAUUGAUUCAUUUUAGCUUGUAAGUUUAGAAUAGAGAAUUAGAAGUUAUUGCAUAAGAAGACUAGAAAUGAAAUAAAUUCCACAGUGUUUUGAAUUAAGGAGCAGAGCAAGGCGACCUGUAGAUAUGUCUAAGAUUGGUUGGUUGGUUUGGGGGAUUAAAGGGACCAGACUGCGACGGUCAUCGGUCCUAUGUCUAAGAUUAAGUGACAGGUUUAAGGAGAACCCGAAUAAUAAUUAAGAGGCAAAACAGAGCCAGAAGGGGUGGUUGCCACUAACUAUAGUGUAAAGGAUAAUCUAGUUUGGUCGAUCCAAGGAGCCAGGUCUUGAUAAACAAGAGGGCAAUAUAGAGUAUCAACCAUGUUCAGUCACAAAUAGAACACCAAACUGGAAGUGAGCUGCAACAGAGCUGUCAGCAGCUCGUGGUCAUGCGGUAGCGUUCUCGCUUCCCGCGCCCGGGUUCCUGGGUUCAAUUCCCAGUGGGGUCAGCGAUUUUCUCUGCCUCGUGAUGACUGGGUGUUGUGUGAUGUCCUUAGGUUAGUUAGGUUUAAGUAGUUCUAAGCUCUAGGGGACUGAUGACCAUAGAUGUUAAGUCCCAUAGUGCUCAGAGCCAUUUGAUUUUUGCAACAGAGCUAGCUGCAGGCAGGCAGGAGUGUUAUGCAUUACGAAGCAAAACACAGCUGACAGGCAUCACGAAGAGAGCCAGCAUGGUAUAACAACAGCCAAUGCUACAACACACUAGUGGAACAACAGAAGCCUUUCCUCACUUGCCUUAAGCCUUAAAUGAACAUAGUCUGGAGCAUAUAAGUACUCAGCCAUUUAUGUACUAAAAUAUUCUCUUCUCAGUUUCACAGGCUACAAACAAGUCUGUGAUGCCCAGAUCAACAUCCUAGAAUGAAGUACAGGGUGCGCUGUUCGACCACGGGACAGGGCAGCCUGCCCUGAGUCAUGAAAGCAGCCGCCGCUGGAGAAGAGAGCCGCCCGCUUGCUGGAGGGAGGCCAAGGCUGCUUCCAUGGAAUUGUCAGCUGUGCUGCCAUGCUGUCAUCAUGGUUGCAGCCAGAGACAUCACUAAUAGCUGCAUUCAAGUGACACCAUGCUCAGCCCUGCCCUUUGCACCAUCAGUAAUGCCAGACAUCUAUUGUUUUGCAUUAGGCAACUGUACACUUCCACCAAGCUGUUCCUGCUGUACUAUGGCCAAGGGCUGGAAUAAAGAGGUUAAUUAAACAA